UCUGCGGCCUAUCAGGUAGUAGUGGGUGUAAUGUACCUACUAGCCCGCGACGGGUACGGGUUGUGAGAGCAAGAGCCCGGAGAUGGAUUCUGAGACAUGAAUCCAGGCCCUACGGGGCGCAGCAGGCGCGAAAACUUUACAAUGCGGGAAACCGUGAUAAGGGGACACCGAGUGCCAGCAUCAUAUGCUGGCNGUCCGGAUGUGUAAAAUACAUCCGUUAGCAAGGGCCGGGCAAGACCG
rnacentral:rRNA from 1 species